GUUCACUUCCAUCAAUGAGGACAUUUGGAGGCAGAAGAAACAAGUGAUAUGACAACAACCUUUAUGAUCAGAGUUUAUGUCUUUCUAAUGUUCUAAGUGAUUAACAAAGGAUAACUAGUCUAAGACACAGGACACUGGAACACAGGACAAUAGAAAAGAAUCUGCAAAAAAAAAGAAGAACUCUCUGCCUCGUGACCCCGAGUGAACACAGUAGUCUCAUUGAAAUGAAUGAGAGGCUUUUUUUCUGACACACAAUGUCAGUCUGGACAUGGCAUUAUGGUCAAGAAAGGGGAGAGGCCUGAGUAGCAAGAGGAAGAGGAGGCGAGCAGUCAAGCGAAGUGACCCGACAACCAGGAGGUGAACCGGAGCAACGAUCAGAGAUAAACACAUUCCUGAGGGAAAUGUGUUUAUAUCCCUGAGAGAGGGACAGAGUGGUAAAAUUAGAAAGAUAGAUUGAGAGAAUAUUGAGGUUGAAAGAAAACAACAUGGGUGAAGAAGUAAAGGAGGUGCAUACAGGCAAUGGAGCAAAAGGUGAGCGAGCGAGGGCAGAGGAGAAAAAGAAAAGAUAACAGACAAAUGAAGGAGGAAAGCAUGAAGAAUGGAAAAUUUGAAUAUUUUAUCUGCAAGGGAGACAAAGAUUUAGUUUUGAAGCUUUGAAAGAGAAGAGUACAGUUCGAAUGAGAGAAAGUAUAAAUGCAUUUGUUUGGUGGAGUGAAAUCGCAUGUUAGAUUGAGACAGAGAGAGAGAAAGAGAGAGAGAGAAUGUUUGAGAAUUCAUUUAUCCCUUAAAUCGAGUGAAAAGGAGAUUUGACGUCUGUUUUCUAAGGAGAAAAAAAUAAGUGACUUAGAGUGUUUAAUGAGUGAAUAGCAGAACAGGAGCUCAGCCGACCGGAUAAUGCUUCGUUAAGGAGACGCUGAUUGGCCUGCCACGUAAUCCCCCACCAGCCGCACAGCAAUAAUGAUGUGUUUUGUUGAGUAACAAGCGAGGAAUUGUAGUUACAAGAACACAUAGAGUGGACACUCAUGCAGAUAUGAAAAAACAUAAUGAAUAAUGUUGUUAUUAGAGUACACCCUCUCAAGUUUUAAUUGUUUUUAAGUGGAGGGUUUUUUUUUUGUUUGUUCCACUACGGCUUGAAUUGAUUUGGAGCGAAGUGUUGAAGCAGAACAGAGACACAGUUACAGAGCACAGAACAUGCAACAUGAUUGUGAAAUAAAUAUUACAUAAACUGAGGGUAUGUUAAAGAAAUAGUUUGACAUUUUGGGAAAUACACUUAUUUGCUUUCUUGCUGAGUGAGAAGAUCAAUACCUCUCUCAUAUCCCUGUAAAACCACCAGCUUGGUGUUUUCGCAGUUCUGUUUUUGUAUGGAUUAUACAAACAAGAUUCAACAUGUUCAAUAAUAGUCUUUGGAGAUGUUGAUAGGUGUGUUUUUGAACUUUGGACCAAGCCAGUCUAGCAGCUCCCUCCUCCUGCUUCCAGUCUUUAUGUUAAGCUAAUCACCUCCUGGCUCCAGGCUCCAUAUAGGGCGCAGACGUGUAAAUAUUGUUAUUUAACUGGCAGUGAGAGUGAAUUUCCCAUAACUGUUGAACUUUAAGCCUUCAAAAUGAUUGUUCUGUGACUGUGAGAAAAUUAUUUCAUUGAUUA